UACGUAGGGUGCGAGCGUUGUCCGGAAUUAUUGGGCGUAAAGAGCUCGUAGGCGGUCUGUCGCGUCUGCUGUGAAAUCCCGAGGCUCAACCUCGGGCUUGCAGUGGGUACGGGCAGGCUAGAGUGCGGUAGGGGAGAAUGGAACUCCUGGUGUAGCGGUGGAAUGCGCAGAUAUCAGGAAGAACACCGAUGGCGAAGGCAGGUCUCUGGGCCAUUACUGACACUGAGAAGCGAAAGCAUGGGGAGCGAACAGG
rnacentral:rRNA from 1 species